rnacentral:rRNA from 1 species
AGGCCGAACGCUGGCGGCGUGCUUCACACAUGCAAGUCGAACGGGGCUCAUUCGGUGGUAACACCGGAGAAGGCCUAGUGGCGAACGGGUGCGUAACACGUGAAGAACCUGCCCCGAAGACUGGGAUAACAGCGGGAAACCGCUGCUAAUACCGGAUGACCCCACCAGGCCGCAUGGCCAGGUGAGGAAAUGGGCCUACCGCUUCGGGAGGGCUUCGCGGCCUAUCAGCUUGUUGGUGGGUAACGGCCUACCAAGGCUACGACGGGUAGCUGGUCUGAGAGGACGACCAGCCACACUGGGACUGAGACACGGCCCAGACUCCUACGGGAGGCAGCAGUGGGGAAUCUUGCGCAAUGGGCGAAAGCCUGACGCAGCAACGCCGCGUGAGGGAUGAAGGUCUUCGGGUUGUAAACCUCUUUCGAGCAGGGACGAUUGUGACGGUACCUGCAGAAGAAGCUCCGGCCAACUACGCGCCAGCAGCCGCGGU